UCUGAGCUUUUGUUUAACAUUAAUAUGCAGGGACUGUAAUAAAAGAAAAAAAAAUAAUUAGGUUAACAUUUUUCUUUUCAAUGUACUCUGAUGUUGUAUAAAAUGAGUGUUUUAGCAGAUUUAUUAAUUGUGCUUUGUUAACAAUUAUGACCUUAAUGAUUCAAAUUUAAACACUUAAACAUUUAAGCAUUGUUUUAAAUAAAUAAAUCACUGGUAAAAAAAAAAAAAAAAAUGCUUGUAAAUGCUGUCAUUAAAUGUAUUGUAUGUGCUGUAUUUUGCUGUUAUUUUGCUUUUUAUAAGUUGCAAACCCCCUACUCUGAGCUUGUAUUUCACAUUAGCAUGCAGGGGCAGAAAAACAUGACAAAUAUAUGACAAAUACAUGUAUUUGUGUAUAGGAGUGAAAUAUAGUUGUUUUAACACUUUGAAUAAUACCAUCAUGUCACUGAGUUGACUUUGACAUUAGCGUUUCCUCCUGCACGUGUGUACUUGGCUUUAUACACACUUCCUGUGUGAUUCACUUUGACAUUUUAGUUGUCUUAUUGCGUAUAGUGACUGCCUGAACAUGCUCCUGCCUGUAAGCAUGGUACAGUGACCUCUGAGAGGUAUCAGAAAAGGUGAGAUCUUAAUUGUCCUGUCACCCCUGCUGCUAACUCCUCUCUCUAUUGCUCCUCCUCUUGCCAGUCCUCCCUGCAGAAGCUGUAGAGCAGAGGGCGCUCUGCAGUGCAAGAACAUGCCUUGACUUGUACCGGCUUGUCAGGAGGGAGUUGGGGCUUGUGGUCAGUACCAGUAGCUGAGUGUUUUCAUCCGACUGACCUGUAAAAGACGACAACACCGUACAGACUAUGUUGUCUUUGGGAUGGCUGGAAUUUGUAAUAGACUGAAUUGAUAAAGAGCUUACACUAAGACAAGAUGGCUCGACCCCUGAGACUAAAGAUGAGACAGUUUACCAGACUUGUUUAACUGACUUUCCAACAUCUGUACAUUUAUUUGGUGGUUACUCCCGUGAACUAGUGGUUAACUCACAAGCACCUCUGCUGUUGCCAGGAGCAUCAAUGUUGCUGAUAGCAAUGUAUUUCUCUGGAUGAAAGAAACUUAUCCUGAUGUCCGGGGAUGAGGGGAGAUUCAAAGUAAGCUGUGAGAACAAAAGAAGUCAUACGUGUUGGGAGCAACAUGAGGGAGACUUUUCACCCACCGGCAUCUCUUGGAAACCGAAAGCAGAACUAGGAGUUAUUUGCUAAGGGGAAAUCUUCCUCUGUCACCGGCUGUCACAGAAGGACUUCGGACAUUCCAUUGGCAAAGUAUUAAAGUGUCCUGAUUGAGCUACCCUGCAGGAGAUGGGAGAGUCACAUAAAAGAAGCCUUUACAGUCUCCGACAGAUCCUUUGGAUGAUGGUGAAAGAUUGGUAGUGAUGGAAAGAGAGGAGAAAGUGAGGGAUGGGGGGGGGGCGCUGCUGUGAGUGGUUCUUUGGCAGUGUCUUAGCUGGUUGUUGUGUGGAGUGAGAACGAAGCAAUCAGCAAGUAUACUGCCGCAGAAACUCGUCACCUUGGAAGGCCCAUCCAUCCGACCUCGCUCACGCAAUCACCCGCCAACACAUGCGCUCAGAGGAUGGAGAGAGAGACACAGACAGAUGGAGAGAGGAGAAACCUCAGUCUGUUCAUAUUAUCAGCUCUCUAAAAACAGAGCUUCUCCUCUGGCUUCGUUCAUUCCACUUCAUCUAAUUGUGAGUGUCAGCCUUUGUUUUUGUCACCGCUCAUUGAAUAUUUAAAGGGCUAGUUCACCCAAAAAUGAAAAAUCAUGUUGUUCCAAAUCUGUAUGACUUACUUUCUCCCAUGGAGCACAAAAGGAAAUAAAAAGGAAAGGGUUUGUUACAGUCUCACUUUUAUUAUUAUUCUAUGGGGAAAAAAAAGAUACAAUGGAAGUGAAUGGUGACAGAGGCUAUAAUUCUGCCUAACAUUUCCUUUUGUGUUCCACUGAAUGAUGAUGGAACAAAUAAUGACAGAAUUUUGAGGGUGAACUAUUCCUUUAACAACUGACUGAUUUCAUUAAUUUAUAAGUGAAAGAUUGAAUUAUACUUUGUUUUAUUGUCAAGGUUUAGUUCUUUUCAUGCCAAAUGCAAAGCUGUUGUAAUCAACAGUUUUUUUUUAUUCCUUCUCUUAUUCUGUUGAUCGGGGACAAUUAAGUUACCUGUUAUUAUGAGUAUCGGCUCUCCAUAUUUUGCAGUUUCAGUAUUUCCAUGAUGUAGUGUGUCUUGUUUAUAUCUGGCCUAUACUUAGCUUACAGUCUUGUUGUGAUGUGUUCAUCAUGAACUCUGCUAAUUGACCAAAACAUAUAUUAUCAUCAUGAUAAAAAAAAAAAAACGCCUAAUACAGCAAAGUAGGCUACUCCUCCCGAUUUGAGCAUGUGUACUGUAUAUAGAAUGUUAGAAGUAUUAAUUAUCUACUAUAAAUUUCAUACUGUGUUUAAAUGUGACUGUGUUUUAAUAAUAAUUCAACAUGUAUUAAUUUAGUCUAUAAUAAUAAUAAUAAUAAUAAUAAUAAUAAUAAUACAAUUUAGUUUGAAAGGGUCAUCAUUUUUUUACAUUUCUCUAUUUGUGGCAUAUGUUUAGUAGUAUGUUUAAAGCAAUCUGUAUGUAUUGUGUGUAUUAAAGUCAAGCUUCAUUUUCA